rnacentral:lncRNA from 1 species
CUACUUGUAGGAAUUGCCAUAGAACAAGAAAAAUUGAAUGAUGAGCUAAAAUCAGAUCAUAAAGUGAGAAUAGUAGCUAAAUAGUAAUCAAUGAAGCAAAAUUACUAGCUUCUGUCAGAUUGUAUAUAAUAGACAGAUGAUGAUAGCUAUAGAAGGCCAACAAUUUCAAUUCUUAAGCUAAGAAACUGAAGAAGUGUUAUAGCCAUGAGUGUUUUGUAUCCCACAUCAAGGUUCUGAACCAAACUCAUCAGGUGCACCUUUACUUUAAAAAGAUGCUAAUCACCCAGCAAAUUCCAGGUAUGCAACUUCUAUUUUCUGCCUAUAAAGUUUGGCUUCAAAAACCUUCUGCUGGAAAGAUGCUGCAUUGCCAAUCAACUACAACUAGAUACCUUUUACAAUUGCUUUAGACACGAACAUGAUUCUAUACACAUCUUGCAGUAACUCAUGACAGCAUCCUGGAAAGAAAACAAACAAAGUUAAAAAGAAGCACAAACAAAGGGACAAAUUAACAGGGAAAGGUAUUGAACUGGAAGCUUGGAUCAUAGUAUAUAUGAACAGUUGCUUUCGGUUAAAGGUUAUUUUAACUGACCGACUUGCUGUUAUGUACUAUGAUAUCAGAAUUUCUGAUGAGAGUGACGGGCUAUUUUCAUCUCAUCGUUAAAUAAAUGAUACGUAUUGCGUUUCAGCAAUUGUAAAAUAGUAAUCUAUAUCAUAAAUUUUAUAAUUAUUUUAUAUGUGUCGUUAUGUAAUAGAGAAUUAAUAACUUAAUUUUUAUUCUAAAUUAAGAAGAGGGUAUUAAUAUCAUAAUGUAGCAUGCAUUUAGUACAGAGAUAGAAGUGGAAGAUAAAUAAAUAAUGGCAAUGUAUAAUAUGAAGUUGCGUUCCACCUACUCUUAGCUUUAUUCUUCCAUGCCCCCACCCUACGUCAGCUUCCUUUUACAUUCUUUCCUUUCUCUUUGCUACUCUCCUUUCCUUUCUUCUUCUUCCAUCAUUCUC